rnacentral:rRNA from 1 species
AUGUGGACCUGUCUUCGUCAGCGCUAUGAGCCCUCUGGUGAUGCCUUAUACCUUUCUGUGGUUCAUCAGGAGCAUGCUCUUCAGCAGGGUGACUCUACUGUCGAUGACUUUUAUGCACAGAGUUCUGCUAUCUGGCGCCAGCUUGAUUCUCUCCGCAGUGCUGGUUGUCGUACUUGCCCCUGCUGCCAGGCUGUCCAGGCCAAUUUGGAGUUUCAUCGCGUCUACGAGUUUCUGUCUCGGCUCCGUAAGGAGUUUGAGCCCCGGCAUGCUCAGUUGUUUGCUCGUGGCCGUAUUUCUCUCAUGGAGGCGCUUUCAGAGAUUCGUGCUGAGGAGACUCGCUUACGUGGUGCUGGUUUGCUGGAGGUUCCCUCUGUGCUCGCUACUCGGGCUUCUUCCACUCCACCUGCUGGACCGACCCAUUCUCGCUCGAGUGCUCCGCCGCUCUUGCCCACUCCUUCUGGAGGCUCAGGUCGCCCCCGUUCACAUUGUGACUACUGCAACAAUGAUGGUCAUAUUGAGUCCCAGUGCUACACCAAGCGGAAACACCUGCGCAAGGCGCGAUCAUCAUCCUCAGGGACUUCGUCA